rnacentral:rRNA from 1 species
CCUACGGGAGGCUGCAGUGGGGAAUAUUGCUCAAUGGGCGAAAGCCUGACGCAGCGACGCCGCGUGAGGGAUGAAGGUCCUCGGAUCGUAAACCUUCUUCAGUAGGGAAGUACGGUCUCUGUGCUAAUCAGCAGUGAAUUUACGUUAACUGCAAAGGUAGCAUCGGCCAAUUCCGUGCCAGCAGCAGCGGUAAUACGUAGGGUGCUAGCCUUGAUCGGAUUUUCUGGGCGUAAAGCGCUCGUGGGCGGUAUGUCAAGUCAAGGGUGAAAUCCCCGCGCUCAACGUGGGAACUGCCUUUGAAACUGGCAGACUGGAGUGUGUGAGAGGGUAGUGGAAUUCGAGGUGUAGCGGUGAAAUCCGUAGAUAUCUGGAGGAACAUCAGUGGCGAAGGCGACUAUCUGGCACAUAACUGACGCUGAGGAGCGAAAGCGUGGGUAGCAAACAGGAUUAGAUACCCGGGUAGUC